CUAAUUUAAAGCAACUCCAUAACCCAUCAAACAAUGAAUGGGCACACAUACCAAACAACACUCAUCCAGUCAUCAGAAGCCAGAAUAACUUAACCUUCACCGAUAGGAAGCAGCGGGCCCAGGAAACGAGUACCGCGCUGACACAGGCAACGCCCCGAGAUCCGCCCUCCUCCUCUGCAGCUGGUAAUCGGUCGAAACGCUAGCAGCAUGUGCAGAAUGGUACCUUCCAGCUUCAUCUGUCGCCACUCGAUACUCCACAUCGGCUCCCACGGGUCUGGAAUACGAGCGAGGCAGAUCAUAAGCCACCUCACUAGGAUAAGCAGAUCGCGUAGGAGCAAGACCAGCACCAUAAGGG
rnacentral:misc_RNA from 1 species